rnacentral:misc_RNA from 1 species
CUGCAGGGAGGGCACGGCUGCUCCUCAUCCAAGCAAGGCGAGCAACAGCAGGGGCACCAUGGGAGGGAAGGAGCCGAGCUCCCUGCUGCAGCCGCUUGCCAGGGGGAGGAAGAAGGGCGCCGCUGGCCUCUGCGAGAAAAUAUGGGCGCCAUGGAGGAACGCACGCAGGGCGUCGGGGCCUGGGCGUCAAUGGCUGCUGGCUUCGUGUGUGCCGGCCAUGGAGAGAAAGGAGUGGCGCUAGGCAGAGGUCUAGCUAGAGGUGGAAGAAGGGCUUGGGCGCCAUCCAUGGGAGCGACUGCUCCCUGCUCUGUUGUGCGUGAAGGAGCGUGGGCUGCUGCCGUGAGGGAGAAGGUGGCAGGGAAGAAAGAAGGUGGCGAAUAUGGGGGUAGGUGA